rnacentral:rRNA from 1 species
UACGUAGGGGGCAAGCGUUAUCCGGAAUUACUGGGUGUAAAGGGAGUGUAGGCGGUAAUACAAGUCAGAUGUGAAAGCCCAGGGCUCAACCCUGGGACUGCAUUUGAAACUGUAUAACUAGAGUGCAGGAGAGGAAAGUGGAAUUCCUAGUGUAGCGGUGAAAUGCGUAGAUAUUAGGAGGAACACCAGUGGCGAAGGCGACUUUCUGGACUGUAACUGACGCUGAGACUCGAAAGCGUGGGGAGCGAACAGG